GCACUCGUAGCUCAGCUGGAUAGAGCAUUGCCCUCCGAAGGCAAAGGUCGGACGUUCAAAUCGUCUCGAGUGCACCA
rnacentral:tRNA from 1 species